CGCCGUGGCACAGCUGCGGCGGCGGCACUGGGGAAGGAGGAAGGGGAGCUCGCGCAGCCAUGGCGUACGGCGGCCUGGCAGUGCCCAUCAUCGUCAUGAGCGUUUUCUGGGGGGUCGUCGGCGGCAUCCUGCCCUGGCUCGUGCCCAAGGGGCCCAACCGCGGGGUGAUCAACACGAUGCUGGUGACCUGCGCCGUUUGCUGCUACCUCUUUUGGCUGAUUGCGAUCCUGGCCCAGCUCAACCCUCUCUUCGGACCACAGUUAAACAAUGAAACUAUCUGGUAUCUUAAACAUCACUGGCCUUAAGGUCCUCUGUCUUCUGCCACAGCUGUUUGUGGAUUAGGUGUUAAAGGAAAAAUAGGAAAUGGAAAAUCCAGCUGAGGAGCUAGUUUCUCAUCAACUUGAGGCCCAUCUGCCUGUUCUGCAGGUAAAGAAGAGAUUUCCUCCAGAUGAAACACUCCAUUGAUCCAAAGAUGCCAUUAACAUAGCUGGUUGGAUACCACACCUACUUAAUGCCUUAAUAUUUGCCUUGCAUUCAAAAUGGCUUAUUUUUUUCCUACAUUACUACUUACACUAACAAUGUGCCUGUGAAGAUUUAUACCUCCUCUUCUCUGCUGUAAACUUUUGUGUGUUAAAUCUUUCCAUAACAGUGGAAAUUCAUUAAUUGUUCAUGGGAUAUGGAUUUGAUGGCAGUCCCUUGUUCACUUAUGAGCUCUAGGGAUCUUCCCCACACAGUAGAUGCAGUUCACAGCUAUGUUCCAUGUGACUGCAGUAGCAAUAAAACCCAAAAAAGUAUGCACUAAAACCAUAUGAGGAGAAUAAAAAUGUUGCCACAGGUUGAUGGCACUUUUUUUUUUUACAAAGGGUUGUAAUCUUAAGAGGCUUUGUCUUAAAUUUCUCAUUGUUGUACUUGAGAAUAAAACAAUCUGUGGCUUUAUAAGAAAUGUUAUUUUGAAGAUUGUAAGAGUGUUCUUACAGCUAACUUUCUGGUUCAACUUUCUACAGUGUUUAAGCUGGCAAGCUAUGCAAAAAGUUAAUCUUCUGAAAUUUCAGAGCUUCUGGUAUUCCUGUAUUAUCUAAUAUGACUAUUUCACCAUGGCAGCUUGAGUGUAAGUUCUUACCUGGUCUACUCCAGGACCUAGUUGUGUUCCAAAGUAGGAUUCUGAGUGAGAGCAGUUAACUUCUCUUUUCUUGUAGCAUUCAGGUCUUAAAAAUCUCUGUGGUUGGACUCUUACAGUGUAGCACAGAAUUAUCUGGCAACUUGGAGAGACUGGGAUUUAGCCUAACGAACCAUUGAGAAUGUAGGAAAUAAUUGUACUGAUAGUAAAAUGCCUUAAUUAUCCUACACCAAGUAAAGCAUAUAGCUAGGAUUAAGCCACUUUAUGAAUUGUGUGCCUUGGAAAUGUUUGAUCUAUGAAAGAUGCUUGAGGAAGUGAGCUCCAGAGCUAUUGAUCCCACCCCAGAGGGGACCUUUUGUUGCCUGUGGAUUCAGUAGCGUAUACAAGAUUACUUCCUUUACCAGAGUGUAAAGGAAGAUCCCAUGACUAGGUUAACCUGUCCCAGGCCCUCUAGGGCAGAGAUGUCAAAAGAUGCAGCCCACUGAAUCCUAUCAUUUGACCCACACUGCUGUCUGUGGGUCUUGGACCAGCCAUGCACACUGGAUCUGGUGUUCAGGGCCAGUCUGUGGGCCUGAUUUGGCACCUGGAUCAGCCCUCUGCUAUUUGUCUGGCCUGUGCAGUGUGAUAAUUUUGACAACCUGUUCUAGGGUAUUGAUAUCAAACCAUGUGGACUGACCCAGGACAGGGCAGAAAACGUAAGGAUUGCACAUUAUACCAAACAGUGCUUCUUCAUAGUUUUCCAGAGUGUUUUGACUCCAGGUAGAGUGCAUGACCCUUUGGGUCAGAGAUGAAAGACAGGGGUAAGUAGUGAGGGCCCUGAAGAUCAGCCAGGACUCCCCACAGGGACUGCUUCAAUAACACUGAUGCUGCAAAUACAGGGUGGCAAGUACCCAGUUAGGCUGUGGUCCAAAAUACCUAGUUUGUGUCUCCACAAAUUUGUCCUUCCUAUUGAAUUGCUUCUAGGGUCAACUUAAUCACUCCUGAAACUCAGCGUAACUCUGGCUCUAUCUCCAUUAUAUAUAGAAGGCCUAAACAGAGCUGGUUACAGUUAUUCAAAAGGAGAAACAAAGGUGGUAUUUUGCCUCAUCACAGAAAGUGUGCCUUUGUUGCCCCAAGAAACAAGGCUAGGCCACUGCAUAAAGAGGCGACAUCCUAAGCAUAACAUAGGAUACAGUGGAAAAUAUACAGAAAUAAGAGCUUUUACAAAAUUAUGAAUGAGGGAAGUGGUGGGUUGGUGAGCUGGACUAGGAGAUAAUGGUUCUUUUUUGGGUAAACAAUGUUCCUUUGCUACCUCAGAAAGGACUAUUCAACUUGGUUCACUUCAUGCAAAUACUUGAGGCGUACACAAAACAGUAUGCGUAGGUGUUACAAGUGGAAAUGCUCUGUUUUCCGAACAGUGCUAACCAAGGUUCAAACCAGUUAUAAUAGCCAUGACUAAUAACUGAUUGAUGCAUGUUGUACAAAAUAUAACUUACGGAUUUAAGGAUUUAUCUGAAAUUUGGUGCAUGUUAAAGUGAAAGAUUUAGCCAGUGAGCAGUGAGGUUGGUUUCAUCCUGAACUUUCUUUUUAAUUUUGAAUUUGUUCUCAUUGUGCCACAACACUGUAGAACAAUGGUUGGCAAUGUUAACUCAGCCCCUGCUGCAGAACAGAUCUCCAAGGGAAGGUUCAUAAGUAGGACUGGAAGGGACCUCACAAGGUAGGAUCAUCCCUGGUUCCAACCCAGCCACGACUUUCCUCCACUGCCUAGGUAAAGCCCUUUGCCACUGAAACGCUGCAGUCUGUAGGUUGCUGAUUCCUGCCUUAGUCUCUUUGACAAUGUAGGUACCCAUAGUUGCAAAAAUCUAGUCAUCUAUGACUUGCAGAUAUAGGAAAACAGAUGUGGGGUGUACAAAGCAAUUAUCUGAGCAAAUUAGACUUCUAGCUAUUUAAUUUGUACACACAGCUCAGAUUAUGCAAGUGCAAGGAAUGAUGUUAUGCCCCCACCUUCCUACAAAACUGAAGAGAAGAAAAUCUUUGAAGAUAGCCACCUCCUUGCUUUGUUCAUCUGCAUAAAACUACUACUGUACUGUGGUUUCAGGGCAAGUUGUACCACUGACCCUGUUCAAAGUGACACCUUUCAAGCAAGAGGACCCAUGCCUGCCCUUCUCUCCAAGGUGAUUCUUAUAAUUUGUCCCACUUUCAAUUGGAUCUCCAGGUUUCAGCAUCUCUUACUGUCUGUGUUUAGGUGGAAGGUCUGCUGUGAUUAGCCUUGGCAACAUGCUUCCUUUGGGAUUUGUAUCAAGGAUCCAGGUAUAGAUCUGAAAGGGAUUCACUUCUCUCUACUCUGACUUUGGAAGAUGUUUCUUUUUAAAACCAGACAGCCCAGUUGUUCUUUGUAUUCACAAGUUGCCCACCAUUCUGUUGCCAUUAGCCAAGAGGUUAUGCCCAAAACGAUACAGAAAUGAGACUUUGGGCAGCUACUGUUUGUUAAGCAGCAGUGAUUGAGGCUGUCUACUUCAGUUUCCUACAUCUAUGCAAAAAAUCUGUUAAGAAUAGUGUGAAGUCUUUGCACCCAUGUAGCAGAUGGCAUGAUAUUAAUCAAACAGACUAAUCAGAUAGCCCCAUACUAUGCAUAAAAAUAAUACAGGUAUGUCUCAACAUUCUUGGAAUAGUUUUCUGAAAACUGUUUUGGGCAGAAAAAAAUUAGUUUGCUAAGUUGAUGCUUAAGAUAAAGAGAAAUUUGUGACACUGGUAUGUAUAAUUUUUGCAGCUCAUGCAAGUGAACUCUGGAUCUUUCUCUGCAUCGGGGUCCUCAGAAGUGAGAUUCGUCCCAUGAGCUCUAUUCUGUCUCUCUUAUACUUUUACAUGGACAUGGUAUUUGAAGCCUAAAAUGUAAGCUUCAUUACAAGAAAUUACAAACUGCAUACAACUAUUUUUUUUCUUCUGUUGUUGAGUAUGAUAGUCUAAAUUAGACUGGUUAACCUUGGCUGUUUCUUCUCUGCAACUUCAUUUACAAAGCAGGUGUCUAUUAAAGACCCCCGAGGAUGUUUUAAAGACUGUUCUCUUUGAGCACUGAUUUUUAUUCUCUUUGAAUAUUGUUAGUAUGUCUAUACAUCUUGUCUGGCUAACUGAUGUUUUUACAGUAAGUUUUGAAAUUAAAAAUAAAAUUAUGCUUAAGAAAUAA